UACGUAGGGCGCAAGCGUUGUCCGGAAUCAUUGGGCGUAAAGAGCGUGUAGGCGGCCCGAUAAGUCCGCUGUGAAAGUCCAGGGCUCAACCCUGGAAUGCCAGUGGAAACUGUCGGGCUAGAGUCCGGAAGAGGCGAGUGGAAUUCCUGGUGUAGCGGUGAAAUGCGCAGAUAUCAGGAGGAACACCGAUGGCGAAGGCAGCUCGCUGGGACGGUACUGACGCUGAGACGCGAAAGCGUGGGGAGCAAACAGG
rnacentral:rRNA from 1 species